rnacentral:rRNA from 1 species
UACGAAGGGGCUAGCGUUGCUCGGAAUUACUGGGCGUAAAGCGCACGUAGGCGGCUUUCUAAGUCGGGGGUGAAAUCCUGGAGCUCAACUCCAGAACUGCCUUCGAUACUGGAGAGCUCGAGUCCGGGAGAGGUCGAGUGGAACUGCGAGUGUAGAGGUGAAAUUCGGUAGAAUAUUCGCAAGAACACCAGUGGCGAAGGCGGCUCACUGGCCCGGUACUGACGCUGAGGUGCGAAGCGUGGGAGCAAACAGG